ensembl:processed_transcript Platr32 pluripotency associated transcript 32
UCACUUGUCACUGUGACUUAUCGCUUAUCUCACUAGGCUAAGUGAUUUAUCUGGGUAUCACUUCUUUCUGCAUCUGGCCUUUGUCAAUAGCAGUGAACAAAGAGAAGAAAAGGAAGCAGGAUUCUUCUUGGAGAUGUUGCAGAGGAGGAGGAGGAGGAAGAAGAAGAAGAAGAAGAAGAAGAAGAAGAAGAAGAAGAAGAAGAAGAAGAAGAAGAAGAAGAAGAAAACGAAAAGGUGGCAGAAGAAAGAAAAAGUGGAAGAAAGAAAUAAAAAAGAAACACUUGAAGCAUUUUUAGGGUUGUAAAUCACAGGUUCUUGGAAGGCUGAGGCAAGUAGAUCACAAGUUUUAGACUCACUUAACCUACUGUCUAAAAAAAAG